GGGCAAGUCUGGUGCCAGCAGCCGCGGUAAUUCCAGCUCCAAUAGCGUAUAUUAAAGUUGUUGCGGUUAAAAAGCUCGUAGUUGAAUCUGUGUCGCACACCGUCGGUUCACCGCUCGCGGUGUUUAACUGGCGUGAUGUGGGACGUCCUACCGGUGGGCUUAGCCUCGCGAGGGGCGGCCCAACUAAUAUCCCGUCGCGGUGCUCUUUACUGAGUGUCGAGUCGGGCCGGUACGUUUACUUUGAACAAAUUAGAGUGCUUAAAGCAGGCUAUCCUCGCCUGAAUACUGCGUGCAUGGAAUAAUGGAAUAGGACCUCGGUUCUAUUUUGUUGGUUUUCGGAACCCCGAGGUAAUGAUUAAUAGGGACAGAUGGGGGCAUUCGUAUUGCGACGUUAGAGGUGAAAUUCUUGGAUCGUCGCAAGACGGACAGAAGCGAAAGCAUUUGCCAAAAAUGUUUUCAUUAAUCAAGAACGAAAGUUAGAGGUUCGAAGGCGAUCAGAUACCGCCCUAGUUCUAACCAUAAACGAUGCCAGCUAGCGAUCCGCCGAAGUUCCUCCGAUGACUCGGCGGGCAGCUUCCGGGAAACCAAAGCUUUUGGGUUCCGGGGGAAGUAUGGUUGCAAAGCUGAAACUUAAAGGAAUUGACGGAAGGGCACCACCAGGAGUGGAGCCUGCGGCUUAAUUUGACUCAACACGGGAAACCUCACCAGGCCCAGACACCGGAAGGAUUGACAGAUUGAUAGCUCUUUCUUGAUUCGGUGGGUGGUGGUGCAUGGCCGUUCUUAGUUGG
rnacentral:ncRNA from 1 species